rnacentral:lncRNA from 1 species
AGGGUAGCAGCCCAAAGAGCAGAUGCCACGGCCACCACCACCGCCAUAGACACACUCUCGUCCUACGGGCCAUGCCUGGGGCUUCAGCCCACAGCUCCGCUUGCCGCGUCUGAGGUUUCUUUACCUCCAGAAAGAAGAAAAUUGACCGCUUGAAUUCUGGAAGUUCAUUGAAGAGUCUGAAAUUAGGGACUUAUUUCAAAUGUGAACAUGGCUAAUCGAGGCGCAAGCAAGACCCUAUGGCUCAAAUACUGGAAAUAAAAUAUGCCAGUUCAAUAUGCCAGUAUUUCUGGGAGAGUCUGCUGUUGGCAAAUCAAGCCUAGUGCUUCGUUUUGUGAAAGGCCCAUUUCAUGAAUUUCAAGAGAGUACCAUUGGGCUGAUUUUCUAACCCAAAAUGUGUGUCUUGAUGACACUACAGUAUAGUUUGAAAUACAGGAUACAGCUGGUCAAGAAUGAUACCGUAGCCUAGCACCAAUGUACUACAGAGGAGCACAAGCAGCCAUAGCUGUAUAUGAUACCACAAAUGAGGAGUCCUUUGCAAGAGCAAAAAAUUGGGUUAAAGAACUUCAGAGGCAAGCAUGUCCUGAUAUUGUAAUAGCUUUAUCAGGAAACAAGGCUGACCUAGCAAAUAAAAGAGCAGUAGAUUUCCAGGAAGCACAGUCCUAUGCAGAUGACAAUAGUUUAUUAUUCAUGAAGACAUCAGCUAAACAUCAGUGAAUGUAAAUGAAAUGUUCGUGGCAAUAGCUAAAAAAUUGCCAAAGAAUGAACCACAAAAUCCAGAAGCAAAUUCUGCCAGAAAAAGAGGAGUAGCCCUUACUGAACCCACACAACCAAACAGGAGUCAGUGUUGUAGUAACUCAACCUCCAGUUUGCACUAGCUAGAAUAGUCUUCUGCUUCUUAAAUGUUAAUAACAAUGGAAUUGGACCAUUUAACCAGCCCAGUAUGACUUCCAAAAGAGACUUAUGAUAGAGUCAAGUUUCUAAUGCAGAAUUAUUUUAAGUGUUUUGAACUUAAUUUUUAAUAACAUGCAUGG